rnacentral:rRNA from 1 species
GACGAACGCUGGCGGCGUGCUUAACACAUGCAAGUCGAACGGAAAGGCCCCUUUGGGGGUACUCGAGUGGCGAACGGGUGAGUAACACGUGAGUAACCUGCCCUUGACUUCGGGAUAACUUCAGGAAACUGGGGCUAAUACCGGAUAGGAAUCCUUGCUGCAUGGUGGGGGUUGGAAAGCUUCGGCGGUUUUGGAUGGACUCGCGGCUUAUCAGCUUGUUGGUGGGGUAGUGGCUUACCAAGGCUUUGACGGGUAGCCGGCCUGAGAGGGCGACCGGCCACAUUGGGACUGAGAUACGGCCCAGACUCCGACGGGAGGCAGCAGGGGGGAAUAUUGCACAAUGGGCGGAAGCCUGAUGCAGCAACGCCGCGUGCGGGAGGACGGCCUUCGGGUUGUAAACCGCUUUCAGCAGGGGCGAAGCUUGUGGUGACGGUACCUGCAGAAGAAGCACCGGCUAACUACGUG